CCAGACUCCUACGGAGGCAGCAGUGGGGAAUCUUCCGCAAUGGACGAAAGUCUGACGGAGCAACGCCGCGUGAGUGAUGACGGCCUUCGGGUUGUAAAGCUCUGUUAAUCGGGACGAAAGGCCUUCUUGCGAAUAGUGAGAAGGAUUGACGGUACCGGAAUAGAAAGCCACGGCUAACUACGUGCCAGCAGCCGCGGUAAUACGUAGGUGGCAAGCGUUGUCCGGAAUUAUUGGGCGUAAAGCGCGCGCAGGCGGAUAGGUCAGUCUGUCUUAAAAGUUCGGGGCUUAACCCCGUGAUGGGAUGGAAACUGCCAAUCUAGAGUAUCGGAGAGGAAAGUGGAAUUCCUAGUGUAGCGGUGAAAUGCGUAGAUAUUAGGAAGAACACCAGUGGCGAAGGCGACUUUCUGGACGAAAACUGACGCUGAGGCGCGAAAGCCAGGGGAGCGAACGGGAUUAGAUACCCCGGUAGUCCUGGCCGUAAACGAUGGGUACUAGGUGUAGGAGGUAUCGACCCCUUCUGUGCCGGAGUUAACGCAAUAAGUACCCCGCCUGGGGAGUACGACCGCAAGGUUGAAACUCAAAGGAAUUGACGGGGGCCCGCACAAGAAGGGCGAAUUCC
rnacentral:rRNA from 1 species